rnacentral:tRNA from 1 species
GUCUCUGGGCAGUACACUUAAUGCACUCAGCUGUUAACUGAAAGAUUGGAGGUUCAAGUCCACCCAGAGUCA